UCUUUCCUGUCGUCCGCUACGCGCUCCGGUGGCUGCGACGGCCCGAAGACCGUGCCUUUUCCCGCGCCGCCAUGGAGGUGGCCCUCCGAGGCGUGCGGAAAGUCCUCUGUGUGGCCGAAAAAAACGACGCGGCCAAGGGGAUCGCCGACCUGCUGUCAAACGGUCGCAUGAAGCGGAGAGAAGGACUUUCAAAAUUCAACAAGAUCUAUGAAUUUGAUUAUCACCUGUAUGGCCAGAAUGUUACCAUGGUAAUGACUUCGGUUUCUGGACAUUUACUGGCUCAUGAUUUCCAGAUGCAGUUUCGAAAAUGGCAGAGCUGCAACCCUCUUGUCCUCUUUGAAGCAGAAAUUGAAAAGUACUGCCCAGAGAAUUUUGUAGACAUUAAGGUAGGGUCUUUUGGAAGACAUUUGGCACUCAGUCAAACCACAGAGUCAAACAGAGUGAUUUCUUUGUUUUUAAUGCAUUGGCAUUUGGAGAUAAGGUUUUCCACCAAAGUCACUACCAUGAUUUAAAAAGCUGGUUCCCACCCAUUGUAUAAAUGUGGCUAAGUGGCCAAGGGACUGAAGUAAACUUUUUUUUAUGAAUAGUAGUUGUUUAAAUCCUAGGAAUAAAGGCUGGACAUGGUGGUUUAUGCCUGUAAUCCCAGCAAUUUUUGGGGCCAAGGCAGGAUCACAUGAACUCCAGGAAUUUGAGACCAGCCUGGGCAACAUAGUGAGACCCUCUCUCUC
rnacentral:sRNA from 1 species